CUUCUUCUCUCCUCUGGAAGAGAGAUGGGAGAGGGAUGGGAUAUGUCUUGAGAAAGAGCAACACUUUGGGAGGCCAAGAUGGGCCAAUCACUUGAGGUCAGGAGUUCAAGACCAGCCUGGCCAACAUGGUGAAACCCCGUCUCUACUAAAAAUAUAAAAAUUAGCUGGGUGUGGUGGCGGGUGCCUGUAAUCCCAGCUACUUGGGAGGCUGAGCCAGGAGAAUUGCUUGAACCUGGGAAGUGGAGGUUGCAGUGAGCCGAGAUUGUGCCACUGGACUCCAGCCUGGGCAACAGAGGGAGAUGCCGUCUCAAAAAAAAAAAAAAAAAGAAAGAAAAACUAGCUGGAUUCUUUAUGGAUUGGGUGUGGGUUAUAAGAGAAAGGGAGUAGAAGGAUGACUCAAGGGUUUGGGGACAGAGUGAGUUAUUUAUUGAGAUAAGGAACAU
rnacentral:lncRNA from 1 species